rnacentral:tRNA from 1 species
GCCGAAUUAGCUCAAUUGGUAGAGCACCUGAUUUGUAAUCAGUAGGUUGUCAGUUCAAGUCCGACAUUCGGCACCA